rnacentral:rRNA from 1 species
UACAGAGGUCUCAAGCGUUGUUCGGAAUUACUGGGCGUAAAGGGUUUGUAGGUGGCCCGCUAAGUCACACGUGAAAUCCCUCAGCUUAACUGGGGAACUGCGUGUGAGACUGGCAGGCUCGAGGGCAGGAGAGGAACGCGGAAUUCCAGGUGUAGCGGUGAAAUGCGUAGAUAUCUGGAGGAACACCGGUGGCGAAGGCGGCGUUCUGGACUGUCUCUGACACUGAAGAACGAAAGCCAGGGGAGCAAACGGG